rnacentral:rRNA from 1 species
GUGGGGAAUCUUGCGCAAUGGGCGAAAGCCUGACGCAGCCAUGCCGCGUGAAUGAUGAAGGUCUUAGGAUUGUAAAAUUCUUUCACCGGGGACGAUAAUGACGGUACCCGGAGAAGAAGCUCCGGCUAACUUCGUGCCAGCAGCCGCGGUAAUACGAAGGGGGCUAGCGUUGCUCGGAAUUACUGGGCGUAAAGGGCGCGUAGGCGGACAGCUUAGUCAGAGGUGAAAGCCCAGGGCUCAACCUUGGAAUUGCCUUUGAUACUGGCUGUCUUGAGUUUGGGAGAGGUGAGUGGAACUCCGGAUGUAGAGGCGAAAUUCGUAGAUAUUCGGAAGAACACCAGUGGCGAAGGCGACUCACUGGCCCAAGACUGACGCUGAGGCGCGAAAGCGUGGGGAGCAAACAGGAUUAGAUACCCCUGUAGUCC